rnacentral:rRNA from 1 species
CACGUAGGGCGCAAGCGUGGUCCGGAAUUACUGGGCGUAAAGGGCGCGUAGGCGGCCUUCUAAGUCGAACGUGAAAUCCCCGGGCUCAACCCGGGAACUGCGUCCGAUACUGGGAGGCUUGAAUCCGGGAGAGGGAUGUGGAAUUCCAGGUGUAGCGGUGAAAUGCGUAGAUAUCUGGAGGAACACCGGUGGCGAAGGCGGCAUCCUGGACCGGUAUUGACGCUGAGGCGCGAAAGCCAGGGGAGCAAACGGG